AGGGAAUCUUCGGCAAUGGACGGAAGUCUGACCGAGCAACGCCGCGUGAGUGAAGAAGGUUUUCGGAUCGUAAAGCUCUGUUGUAAGAGAAGAACGAGUGUGAGAGUGGAAAGUUCACACUGUGACGGUAUCUUACCAGAAAGGGACGGCUAACUACGUGCCAGCAGCCGCGGUAAUACGUAGGUCCCGAGCGUUGUCCGGAUUUAUUGGGCGUAAAGCGAGCGCAGGCGGUUAGAUAAGUCUGAAGUUAAAGGCUGUGGCUUAACCAUAGUACGCUUUGGAAACUGUUUAACUUGAGUGCAAGAGGGGAGAGUGGAAUUCCAUGCGUAGCGGUGAAAUGCGUAGAUAUAUGGAGGAACACCGGUGGCGAAAGCGGCUCUCUGGCUUGUAACUGACGCUGAGGCUCGAAAGCGUGGGGAGCAAACAGGAUUAGAUACCCUGGUAGUCCACGCCGUAAACGAUGAGUGCUAGGUGUUAGACCCUUUCCGGGGUUUAGUGCCGUAGCUAACGCAUUAAGCACUCCGCCUGGGGAGUACGACCGCAAGGUUG
rnacentral:rRNA from 1 species